rnacentral:tRNA from 2 species
GGAGGGAUGGCCGAGUGGUUUAAGGCAGCGGUCUUGAAAACCGCCGAGUGUAACAGCUCCGUGAGUUCGAAUCUCACUUCCUCCGCCA